UGGGGAAUAUUGCACAAUGGGGGAAAACCCUGAUGCAGCGACGCCGCGUGAGCGAAGAAGUAUUUCGGUAUGUAAAGCUCUAUCAGCAGGGAAGAAAAUGACGGUACCUGACUAAGAAGCCCCGGCUAACUACGUGCC
rnacentral:rRNA from 1 species